AAUUCCAAAAAUCGAAAACUUUGUUGACGUAGUACAUAAUCUUACAGAUAAAGAGUUCAAAAGUCAUUUUCGCGUUUCAAGAAUAACAGCCUACAAAUUAAUACAAGUUUAUUCAAUUUCACAAUUCUAUCCUUCCGAUCCAACCCACGGAGGUAGUGAAUCUGUUUCUGCUGAAUUGGAUAUAUUAGCAUUUUUGUGGUUUGCUGGAAAUAAAGUAUGUCUCAGAGACGUCUCUCAAAGAUUUGGCGUAUGUCCUGCAACAACUUUUAGGCAAAAUGAACGAGUGUUAAAUUUUUUAAUUGAUAUAGCUCCAAAUAUAAUCAAGUUUCCUGAGAAUAAGGAACACUCUGCAACCGAAUUC